rnacentral:lncRNA from 1 species
AGUUUUUCCCUUACAUCUACCGGGUGUGGGAACUCACCCAGCGCAUCCGACUGCACGGACAAUGCUGAGGAGACCCCCCUGACUCAAAGGAAAUAGACUGCAGCACUGAUUGGAUGACUUUGGGUAAGUGGUGGGGUACCCAGGUAAAGAAUGGGAUUGGGAUAGACGCUCAAGUUAGGGGAGUUAGAGUCUCUCCUAAGGCAGAGUGGAUUAGAGGCCCCUCUUAAUAAAAGGCAAGGACGCUUGACUGACCUUGGGUUAGAGGCCCAACUUAGGAGGAUUAGAGUCCCUUCUAAGAUUUAGGGGGUUAGAGACCCCUCUCAGUAAAGUCCCUCUUGGCUAAGAAGAGGUUUGGCACCGUGGGAUGUUAACUGCUAUUGUCUUUGGAUUAAUCUGCCUUGCACUCUUUGCUGAUGGCUCCGGGCGACAGGGUUAGGCGUGUACAGGAUCGUGGGACAUGGGGAGCUUUUUCCUCCCCCAAAAGGGGAAACUUGAGAGCUGACGGGACUGCUGGAAAAAAAUCCCUUCACGACAGCAGCCGUAGCCGCCUGAACUUUUCAGUGUCACUGCAAUGGGUGGGUCUUUCUCUGGCCUCCCUGAUCAUUUUGCCUUCCCUGGGAAAGUAUUGCUUGUGGAAAAUAUUUCCUGGGAAAGUAUUGCCUGCGAAA